rnacentral:rRNA from 1 species
GCGUUGCCUCCUACGGGAGGCAGCAGUGAGGAAUAUUGGUCAAUGGGCGAGAGCCUGAACAAGCCAAGUCGCGUGAAGGAUGACUGUCUUAUGGAUUGUAAACUUCUUUUAUACGGGAAUAACAAGAGCCACGUGUGGCUCCCUGCAUGUACCGUAUGAAUAAGCAUCGGCUAACUCCGUGCCAGCAGCCGCGGUAAUACGGAGGAUGCGAGCGUUAUCCGGAUUUAUUGGGUGUAAAGGGUGCGUAGGCGGCCUGUUAAGUCAGCGGUGAAAUCUAGGAGCUUAACUCCUAAAUUGCCAUUGAUACUGGCGGUCUUGAGUGUAGAUGAGGUAGGCGGAAUGCGUGGUGUAGCGGUGGAAUGCAUAGAUAUCACGCAGAGCUCCGAUUGCGAAGGCAGCUUACUAAGGUACAACUGACGCUGAAGCACGAAAGCGUGGGUAUCAAACAGGAUUAGAAACCCGGGUAGUCC